GGAGAUGUGGCUUAGUGGUUAAGCAUACUUUCAGCUCUUCUAGAAGAUCUAGGUUCAAUUCCUAGCAUCCA
rnacentral:tRNA from 1 species